GACGAACGCUGGCGGCGUGCUUAACACAUGCAAGUCGAACGGAAAGGCCCUGCUUUUGUGGGGUGCUCGAGUGGCGAACGGGUGAGUAACACGUGAGUAACCUGCCCUUUACUUUGGGAUAACUUCAGGAAACUGGGGCUAAUACCGGAUAGGAGCUCCUGCUGCAUGGGGGGGGUUGGAAAGUUUCGGCGGUAGGGGAUGGACGCGCGGCUUAUCAGCUUGUUGGGGGGGUAGUGGCUUACCAAGGCUUUGGCGGGUAGCCGGCCUGGGAGCGUGAACGGCCACAUUGGGACUGAGAGACGGACCAGACUCCUACGGGAGGCAGCGGUGGGGAAUAUUGCACAGUGGGCGGAAGCCUGAUGCGAAAACCCCGCGUGCGGGAUGACGGCCUUCGGGUUGUAAACCGCUUUCGCCUGUGACGAAGCGUGAGUGACGGUAAUGGGUAAAGAAGCACCGGCUAACUACGUG
rnacentral:rRNA from 1 species